GUGACUCCGGCUACUUUGACGCACCGGGAUGCGGCUCACCUGACACUCUGCAGCAACCCUGACCAAGGAGGAAAAAGAAAAGAAAGGAAGAAAGAAAGAAAAGAAAAGUCAACUAAGCCAAAAUAAAAUAGGUCCCCAAGGCAACGCGCACCCAGCCCAGAUGCCCCUAAGGAAAGCCCGGAACCCGGUCGCCACCAGCGAUAGGCGGAGGCCGUCACCUGCCAAGCGAGGCCGCGGCAAGGGGCCCGGGCUUCCCGGCCUCUGAGAGGAGCGGCCCGCCCGCCCCGCGGCGGAGGCAGGAACCCCGGGGCCGGAGGUUUCCGCCCGGCACGGCCGUCCUCGGCCGGGGCCUAGGGCGGGGGCCGCACGCGCUUCCGAGGACUGAACCCGGCGGUGCGCGGCGCGCAGCCCCCUCUGCCCGGCCCGUGGAACCCCGGGGGCGGCGGCGGCCGCACCUGCCCCGCGCCCCUCGGCCGCGCCGACGGGCGGCUUCACCCACCUGGCGCCUCGCGCACGUCCCGGCGCGACCCCGCGCGCUCCUCGACACCGGCGCGUGGGCGCGGCCAAGCUCCGGGAAGACCCUGCCGUGCCGCGGCCGCCGCCGCCGGGUCAGUCGUCAGGCCGGCCGCAGCGAACCUGUUGCGCAGCCUGUCACGGCUGCUGGGCUCUCAGCCGGCGCCGCCUCAGCCCCACAACAACAUGGCGGCCGCGGCCUCCGCAGGAAGCCGGGGGGCGGGGAGGCGAGCGACGGGCGGGCAGUGACGGCCCGCCCGCCUAGCCGCGGGACACCUACUCCUCACCGUGGGGAGCGUGACACUGCGUGGCGCUCCUCCUCGCCCCCGGAACCGUGGAAGGCGUGGGCCGAAAUGCUUCUCCUCCCGCCAGGUCCCGAAGCUCCGCGGCUGACAGCCCUUCCAGGAGCUGCCAAGACCCCCCACCUGGCUCCUCCUCUUCGAGGUGACUUGCCGGGGACUGGGUGGGACAUUUCCUGCCACAGGACCCUAAGGUUUUGGAAAGGGCCAAGAGAUGUCCAGGACAUCCCCGUUGGACCACACAUGGAGCUUGCUGUCUCUCAAGCUGGAACCUUCUUAUUCACUGAAGGUCUCUUCGUUAACAUGUGAGCAAGCCUUUCCUGAGAAUGGGGAAGUUAGAGGUGCAAAGGAGUUGCCUCCACCUUUGCUGCAGAUCCUUCUCAAGGACUCUCCUUAAAGGAUUUUACCACACCCAAGAGUUAGCUGUCCAUUCACCAUCACACACACACACACACACACAGAGAGAGAGAGAGAGAGAGAGAAAGAGAGAGAGACAGAGACACAGAGACAGAGACAGAGACAGAGACUGAGAAAAAGCAUCCCUCUGUUCACACACAAGAGCAAGCUCAUGACAGACAGGAAGACCGUCCCGGACUUUUCUGCUUGCAGAAGCUAAACAUCCUUACCCAUCUAAUAGGAGAAACUCAUACUUAGAACUUAUUUCUAUUCUGUGGUUUCCUCACUCAAAUCACCAUUCUUUAUCUGCUGUUUGACAGAGGCAACAGCACCCCCUGGACAAAAAAAAAGCUUUCUUAAGGUUGAGGAUGAGGAAAUGAUGGUCCCUAAUGGGCAAAAUGGGAGUGUAAGGUUUCCAUGGAAGGAAGUGUACUGAGAUGCAAAACUCAUAACGUAAACUGGUGCGUGCCUGUAACCCCUGCACACAGAGAACGAGUCGCAUCAGUCUGACUGCUGAGAAGGAUUGUGAAUUUGAGGUCAGUCUAGGCUAUAUAAAAAUUGUUUUUUAAAAAUCCCAUAAAUAAAUGGAUGUUUUCAAACAUUAGUAUCCCUAUGAUUUCAAUUGAAAUGUGAGAGAUAUGUGUAGAUCAGAUGACCCCAGGCUUCACUGACCCCUGUUGGGGCUGAUGCAGAUAGAAAGUCUGACUUGAAAGAGAUUGCGGAGAUGCUCAGGGCCAACUGAACUGGACAACCAACUCUUAGGAGGAAUUUAGCAAACAUUGAUGGUGAUAAACAGGGUUUUCUUGCUCUCACGGUGUUUUCUUAACUCUUCAAUUAGCCCUUGGCUUGCAUUUUGGUGUUCGGGACUUGGUAACAUUCACCUUGCCUUCUUUCUGUUGAGGUUGCUGGAUCCUUGAGAGGAGGGCGGUGGGACGCAGGUGCAUUUAAAGGCCUCCCUUGAAGAAACUGCAGAGCUAUCAGAAAUUGGAGUUCUGUAUGUCUGCCUGCAGUAUCCCAAACACUAAGUCAACAACUUGGGAUUUUUUUUGUUUGGUUUUAGGGUUUUUUUUUGGGGGGGGGGGAUGGUCUCUCUGUAUAGCCUUGGCUGUCUUAGAACUCUCUUUGUAGACCAGGCUGGCCUCAGAGUCACAGUGAUCUGCCUGCCUUUGUCUCCCAAGUGCUGAUAAUUCCAGUUUCUAUUCAGAACUUGAGAUCAAUCUAUCCUGUCACAAUGUAGAGUAUGAGGGCCUCCUCUAGCCUAGCUUCUCUUAUACAUACAUAUGCGAUUCUGGAAUAAAUCUGGACUUACUUAGUGGAUAUAAGUAAUGAGGGAAGAAAAGAAAUGAAGGAUUCUCAGAUUGCUGGGCAGGCCUUGCUAACAGUAGUUCUUUCUGUUCAGCAAGCUAAAUGGAAUUUUGGAGGCUGGCAAACACAGAAGCAACCCAAGAAAUGUUCUUGCUGCCUUUAGAUCUUUCUUUCCCUACUUAUGCAAAAACAGUCCUUUUUGUCGUUUUUGAUUUUUGUUUUUAGGCUUGCAAAACCCUUCUUCUCUCCUUGUGUCUUCUUUAGCCAAAUACCAGAGCACUCAGUGUCCAGCAAAAACUUCAGCACCUGAAAUAGUCAGUCAUUUCUCUCCACCCAGAAUUCUCGUCAUCCUCAGUCUUUAGGAAUUUAUGAUUCAGGUAGGUGAUGUAGCAACCCUCCCAGUUCAUUCCUCCAUUCAUGGGCUGGUCUUGAAACUCUACCUGUGAAUUCCCUCAGAAUUUCCCAGAUCUGACUGUCAUUUGUUUACCUCUAGCAUGGACUGUAGAUGAAUAACAAGCCCUACCUAAUUCAGAGACGUUCUGUCAAUUCCCUAAAAGAUUAGUAGUUGGUGUAGCGUGAAAAGCUUAGGGAGCAGGGAAGUAAACUAUGCAUAUCAUAUUUCUCCCUUUCUGCCAAAUCUAGGAUAGGCUCUUAGGCCAUUACUAUAAACCAAGGUUUUACCAUGGGGACCCCUAACCACAAGCUCUUUUCCUUUCAUGCUCCUUCCAGCCUUAUAGAUCCUGUUUUUAAAGACCCCAUUCUUCAUCCAAAAACCUCCCAGCCUGUCUUCAAAAGAAGACUAUGAUGGUAAGGACAGGCUAGAAUAGACAGAAGGAAAAUAUGCAGAUUUCAACCAUAGUGUAAGGUAAAUAUUAUAUAGGAAACUGUGUGAACCAGGGGCUUGUCUUUUACAUAAGACCUUUACCACUAAUAGACUGCCUAUGGCAAUGCUAUGUAUAACCUUAGUUUUAAAUAAAUAAUUUAUAAGGAAAUUAAGAGGCUAUGGCCAACAGAAACCAUACUGAUUUGUCCAGAUAUUUGUUACUUCUGGUAUUCUUCAUUCUUUCCUAAGGACCAGAGUUUCCAUUUAUAAUUCCCUUUAAGUAACUUUCUUUAGUGUUUAAAGCUAUAGUGCAGGUCUAUUUGCUACAAAUUUUUAUAUUUUAUAUGAAAACGUAGAUGUUACUUGCUUUCAUAUUUGCAUGUAGAUUUACAUCCAUGGAUGUAAAAGAAUGGGUUGAAAUAAAUGAGGUGGCUCAGUGAAUAAAAGCACCCACUGCCACUCCUGAUGACUUGAGUUUGCUCUCUGGGUCUCGAGGAUGGAAGGAGAAAAUCAACCUGCAAGUUCUCCUGUAACUCCCACCUCUACAGCCCUGUGCCCUGUAUAAUAACAAGUACAUGCUAAAUAAAAUGUAAAACUCUAA
rnacentral:lncRNA from 1 species